rnacentral:rRNA from 1 species
GACGAACGCUGGCGGCGUGCUUAACACAUGCAAGUCGAACGGAAAGGCCCCUUUGGGGGUACUCGAGUGGCGAACGGGUGAGUAACACGUGAGUAACCUGCCCUUGACUUCGGGAUAACUUCAGGAAACUGGGGCUAAUACCGGAUAGGAAUCCUUGCUGCAUGGUGGGGGUUGGAAAGCUUCGGCGGUUUUGGAUGGACUCGCGGCUUAUCAGCUUGUUGGUGGGGUAGUGGCUUACCAAGGCUUUGACGGGUAGCCGGCCUGAGAGGGCGACCGGCCACAUUGGGACUGAGAUACGGCCCAGACUCCUACGGGAGGCAGCAGUGGGGAAUAUUGCACAAUGGGCGGAAGCCUGAUGCGGCAACGCCGCGUGCGGGAUGACGGCCUUCGGGUUGUAAACCGCUUUCAGCAGGGGCGAAGCUUUUGUGACGGUACCUGCAGAAGAAGCACCGGCUAACUACGUG